CCAAAUAGUCACUCUCUGAAGUCCCAGUCUCUGAAAUAUCAGCUGCUUUAAGUCCUCGUCUGCUCAUUCCCACAUUCCCACUACAUCCAGGAUGCCAUCCUGCUGAAAUGCUGCACUCUGUCGUUGGAGCUGUGGGUGUCUCUGAAGUCCUCCUCUCUUUUCUCUCAUAUGGACAUCAGUCAGAUGUAAGGGCUGCUGAGUUUUGCUUGGUCAGCAGUGAAUUUAUCGGUGGGACUGGCUGACUUUCGCAGGCUUCCCUGCUUUCAGGAAGCUCCUCAGAGGUGAAUCAGAUAAUGAAGCAGAACAAGAUCUGCCCUUGUGAAUUGCUUAUUUGAUUGCCAUCAUCUUAAUUUUAAUUUUAUUAUAAAGUGUGUAGGCAACACAGUUGAAGAAAACUGUGAAGCCACAGGAGCCUAAGCAAUAGAUUCGAUUCCUUCCA
ensembl:lncRNA LINC00396 long intergenic non-protein coding RNA 396